UAGGGGGAAAAUGAAGUUUUUUUAAUCUCGUUUUUUGUUGUUGCAUGUAAACCAAAAAACAACUUGACAUGUCAAUGUUAACAUGUAGGUGGGGUUAAACGCUUAUACAGUGCCAAGUGUAUAUUGUUCCAGACACCUGACAGAGGAGUGCUGCCAAGCUGUCCAAGGAGAAGAAAGCCUUCCAAGAGUCCCACAAGCAGACACUGGAUGACUGGCAAGGAGAGAAGGACAAAGUCAACAUUCUGACCAAGGCCACAGCAAUAUUGAGGAUGAGCAGUCUCUGGGAGCUCAGCUCCAGAAAGAGAUCUAGGAACUCCAGGCCCAUAUUGAGGAGCUGGAGGAGGAAAUUGAGGCUGAGCGUGAUGCCAGGGCUAAGGUUCAGAAGCAGAUGGUCGAUCUCUCCAGGGAACAUGAAGAGAUCAGUGAGAGGCUGGAGGGUUGAAAAUCAUAGGUGGCCAGAGAACACAGGAGGAGUUUGGGAUCUUAAUCAAGCUGGUGUAAGAAAAAAAACUACUCAUUCAAGAGUUGUCCAAACUUGACUGGUACCCUAUAGGUUUUUUUUUUCUUUUUUAAAAAACACACAGAUUAUUCCUGUAUGAUGAAAAGCACUUUACAAAUGUAAAUUGUUAUAUCGACAGGCCCAAAAUGAAAUGUUUCUAAAAGAAAGAAUAAGCACAAACAUGGUAGCAAUUGAAAAGGAAAACUUUAAGAGAUUGUGGGGAAAUUCUCAAAUGAAAGUUCUCAGAGAACAACACAUUUGUCUUUGAAUUGUCAGAUUAUGAGCAGGUAAAUGGGAAAAUGGCAAACAUAUUGAUGUAUCAUUCGGCAGAUAUACGCAUCCAUAAUGAUUAGUGAUAACCUCUAGUGGUGAAAUUGCAGCAAUACAAACACAAAAGGCAUUUACAAGGUUGAGGGAUAAAUUGACCCUUAAUAAAUCCUGUUGCGACUCUAGGGGCAGUAUUUUCAUUUUUGGAUAAAAAAAGUUCCCGUUUUAAACAAGAUAUUUUGUCACGAAAAGAUGCUCGACUAUGCAUAUAAUUGACAGCUUUGGAUAGAAAACACUCUGACGUUUCCAAAAC